CCUACGGGAGGCAGCAGUGGGGAAUCUUGCACAAUGGAGGAAACCCUGAUGCAGCGACGCCGCGUGAGUGAAGAUGUAAUUCGUUACGUAAAGCUCUAUCAGCAGAGAAGAAAAAGACGGUUCCUAAGUGAGAGUCCCCUGAUAACUACGAGCCAGCAACCGACGGAUUACGUAGGGGGCAAGCCUUAGCCGGAUUUACGGGGUGUAGAGCGAGCGUAGACGGUUGGCCAAGUCUGGAGUGAAAGGCCGCGGCUUAACCGAGGAAGUGCAUUGGAACCUGGCCGACUAGAGUGCGGUAGGGGAGAGCGGAAUUCCAAGUGUAGCGGUGAAAUGCGUAGAUAUAUGGAGGAACACCGGUGGCGAAGGCGGCUUUCUGGUCUGUAACUGACGCUGAGGCUCGAAAGCGUGGGGAGCAAACAGGAUUAGAUACCCGGGUAGUC
rnacentral:rRNA from 1 species